rnacentral:pre_miRNA from 1 species
GUUGAGGGGAAUGUUGUCCGGAUCGAGGACUAUAUAUACAGUUUUGGUUGAUAUCUGAUUUGUAGUCUUGAUGAAGAACACCAUAUCUAUUUAUUUGUCGUCGGACCAGGCUUCAUUCCCCCCAAU